CGUCGGGCUUCUGGAUCGCUAAGCCUGCGAGUUGGGUCGAAAGACAGCGAACAGCUCAGUAACACAUGGUCAAGCUGCCCUAUGGUCCGGGAUAAUCUCGGGAAACUGAGUGUAAGCCCGGAUAGCUAACCUAUGCUGGAAUGCUUUGUUGGCUAAAGGUAACGCCGUAGGAUGCGACCAUGUCUCAUCAGGCAGUUGGCGGGGUAACGGCCCACCAAACCUACGACGAGUACGGGUUGUGCGAGCAAUAACCCGGAGAUGGGGACUGAGACAAUGCCCCAGGCCCUACGGGGCGCAGCAGGCGCGAAAACUUCGCAAUGACCGAAAGGUUGACGAGGGAAUCCUGAGUGCCGGUGCUUUUUAGUGCCGGCUUUUGACGACAGUAGACUAGUCGUUGAAUAAGGGCUGGGCAAGAUUGGUGCCAGCCGCCGCGGUAACCCCAACAGCCCGAGUGGUGGCCGCACUUACUUGGUUUAAAGCGUCCGUAGCUGGAGCAGAAAAUUCUGGGUGAAAUCCCGGCGCCCAACGUCGGGGCGGGCCCAGAAGACUGCUGCUCUUGGGACUGGGAGAGGGAAGGGGAACUCUUUGGGUAGGGGCUAAAUCCUAUAAUCCGAAGAUGACCACCGGUAGCGAAGGCGCCUUCCUGGAACAGGUCCGACGGUGAGGGACGAAGCCUAAGGGAGUAAACGGGAUUAGAUACCCCGGUAAUCUUAGGUGUAAACGAUGCUUGCCAGGUGUUGCCGUUGCCAAGUGCGGCGGCAGUGCCGCAGGGAAACCGUUAAGCAAGCCACCUGGGGAGUACGGUCGCAAGACUGAAACUUGAAG
rnacentral:rRNA from 1 species